CUGCUCUAGGCUCUGAGCUGGCCACGAGCGCGCUUAGAGGUCGUCAGGGCCUGGAGGAGAGCGGAGGGCAGGCGGGACCAGACCCGGCAGUUCCGAGAAGGGGCCUGCCGAGCUCUUCCGUAACGAGGCCUCAGGACUGUGGGUGAGGGACUGUCCUGUAGAGUCGGUGAUGUGGCCCUGAGGACCAUCACGUGCUUGCGCCGGAAACCCCACCAGGAUGCCCCUCCCACAGGAAGAUCAGGGAGAAUGAAGAGAAAGCUUCCUCAGAAAAGGAACAGCAGCCACAGCCGAAAUCUGACCAGACUCAUCUCUUGUGCUGCAAAGGCUUUAAUCUGCAAGGAGAAGUAUGACAAGAUUAUAGACUGAGGAAAAUGGUGGAAACCCAUCUGAAGGAGAGGAAUAGAAAAGGAAACUACCCCUGGAAGAGAGGCAGGAAUCUGUGCUAGGUCCUGCAUUAAAUCUGGAAGAGAGAUGGAACUUUUAAAGGCAACACUCCAAUGGCUCAGAAACAAUGGAUGUCAUAACGCAACAGGAUGACAUACUCAAAGUACUUAAACAUUCUCAAACCCCUCAGCUGAGAAUCUCAAAAAUGAAAGUGAAAUAAAGAGACUCUCCCCCGCCCACCAAAAAAAAAGGGGGUGGGGGGAAAUUCAUUACCAGCAGACCUGCCUUACAAGAAAUACAGAAGGAAAUUUCUCAGGCUGAUUGCAAGGGACCCUAGACAUUCAUUGGAAUACACACACACACACA